GGAGAAGGGUCAUAGCUCAGUGGUAGGUCAUCUGCUUUGCAUGCAGAAGGUUCUAGGUUCAAUCUGUGGCAUCUCCA